rnacentral:misc_RNA from 1 species
AAUUCUCAACUGUCCCAGGCUUUGUGGCUUGCGGGUGAAGUUGGACUUGGAGGUGUGCUGGCGCAUGAAUGGGCUUUCUGCCCUGCCGUGCUUGUCGGCUCCUCUUGAAUGUAUGAGCUUUCCAAUCCUUGGCAAAGUAUCGUCGAUGUGAUAAUUAUCUGCAUUGUCUGAGAAAGCCUAACAGGGGAAACCUUUGAUCACGUCGGGGUGACCCGCGUCUGACAA